UACGUAGGGGGCAAGCGUUAUCCGGAUUUACUGGGUGUAAAGGGAGCGUAGACGGCUUGGCAAGCCAGAUGUGAAAGGCUGGGGCUCAACUCCGGGACUGCAUUUGGAACUGUCAUGCUAGAGUGUCGGAGAGGCAGGCGGAAUUCCUAGUGUAGCGGUGAAAUGCGUAGAUAUUAGGAGGAACACCAGUGGCGAAGGCGGCCUGCUGGACGAUGACUGACGUUGAGGCUCGAAAGCGUGGGGAGCAAACAGG
rnacentral:rRNA from 1 species